rnacentral:rRNA from 2 species
GACGAACCGUCCAAACGUUGUUCGGAAUCACUGGGCUUAAAGGGCGCGUAGGCGGACCACCAAGUCCGGGGUGAAAUCUUUCGGCUUAACCGGAAAAGUGCCUUGGAUACUGGUGGUCUCGAGUGAGGUAGGGGCAUGUGGAACUUCUGGUGGAGCGGUGAAAUGCGUUGAUAUCAGAAGGAACUCCGGUGGCGAAAGCGACGUGCUGGACCUCUUCUGACGCUGAGGCGCGAAAGCUAGGGGAGCGAACGGG